rnacentral:rRNA from 1 species
CCUACGGGAGGCAGCAGUGAGGAAUGUUGGUCAAUGGACGAGAGUCUGAACCAGCCAAGUAGCGUGAAGGAUGACUGCCCUAUGGGUUGUAAACUUCUUUUAUAUGGGAAUAAAAUGUUCCACGUGUGGGAUUUUGUAUGUACCAUAUGAAUAAGGAUCGGCUAACUCCGUGCCAGCAGCCGCGGUAAUACGGAGGAUCCGAGCGUUAUCCGGAUUUAUUGGGUUUAAAGGGAGCGUAGGUGGAUUGUUAAGUCAGUUGUGAAAGUUUGCGGCUCAACCGUAAAAUUGCAGUUGAAACUGGCAGUCUUGAGUACAGUAGAGGUGGGCGGAAUUCGUGGUGUAGCGGUGAAAUGCUUAGAUAUCACGAAGAACUCCGAUUGCGAAGGCAGCUCACUGGACUGCAACUGACACUGAGGCUCGAAAGCGUGGGGAGCAAACAGGAUUAGAUACCCCUGUAGUC